CGGCUUAAGGGUUUAUUCCAGGUGAGGCGAGUGUCUUAGAAGAUGGGAAACACGUAGAUGGCGUGUUUUUACGGAAGAACUAAAAUAUUUAAUUUUUAGGCAAGUGUCGUGGACUUCGUACUGCUAGGAAGCUCCGUAGUCACCGACGAGACCAGAAGUGGCAUGAUAAACAGUAUAAGAAAGCUCAUUUGGGCACAGCCCUAAAGGCCAACCCUUUUGGAGGUGCUUCUCAUGCAAAAGGAAUCGUGCUGGAAAAAGUAGGAGUUGAAGCCAAACAGCCAAAUUCUGCCAUUAGGAAGUGUGUAAGGGUCCAGCUGAUCAAGAAUGGCAAGAAAAUCACAGCCUUUGUACCCAACGACGGCUGCUUGAACUUUAUUGAGGAAAAUGAUGAAGUUCUGGUUGCUGGAUUUGGUCGCAAAGGUCAUGCCGUUGGUGAUAUUCCUGGAGUCCGCUUUAAGGUUGUCAAAGUAGCCAAUGUUUCUCUUUUGGCCCUAUACAAAGGCAAGAAGGAAAGACCAAGAUCAUAAAUAUUAAUGGUGAAAACACUGUAGUAAUAAAUUUUCAUAUGCCAAAAAA
rnacentral:sRNA from 1 species